AGAUGGUCUCCAAGGCGCCAAAAGUGUCCAAUAAUGCUGGAUUCAAUGUCGUCAUCGACUGAAAAAUACCAUUGUUGGAAGACGUCAUGCGUAUGGUGGGCAUUCCUUGCUGACCAUUGGCUAUGAGUGCAUAUUUAAGCUGAAGGCGACGGGACACAGAUACUAAUUAUAACACAAGCCGGUGAUAUAUAUUUCGGACAUUCCAGGAAACCCGUCCUUUUCCCCGAGGCCUUCGUCGCUUGUUGAGUUUUAUUUUAACACAUUUUCAGAGGAGAUGAACGGCUUCUAUUUUCUUCUUUCUUGCUACUUGAUAGUCAACGUCGGGGCAGGUAUCGUUCAGGAGCCGGAAGUGUUAACGUGUACACAGAACGUUCCCUGCAAAUGGGCUAUGUGCUCGUGGGAACCGGAUCCUAGCCAACCCAGUCGAUGUGAAAUCAUGGAAAACGAGUGUGUCUGUCCUCCGGCCACGGAAUGUAAACCCACGGACAUCAUGCACCCCAGAUCAACCUUUGUCUCCAUCCAGUACAGAUGCCUGAUUACCAACAGGUUAAUACGCCCCUAAUACAUCUGCUGGAUUGGACAUGGAUCCAGGAUCCAUUUCGCAACGACGAAUGACAGACUAGAACAAUUCGCACUUAGAACUUAUCGGGUUCAGUUGAAUGUGUUUGUACGGUGUUUAGCAUGUAAUGAAGUGUUUAAUUAUUAUUUCGCUUUGCUAAGUUAUACUGGUUCAGUCUUUUACAUUAAAGUUAUUCAGUGCCAGUUUCAUUUGCCACAUGUGCUACUGUAUAUGACUCCAUUUUUUUUGUUUAAGUGGCAAAAACAAUUUCCAAUUUUUAUUUGAAACGGCAAUGUCUAUAAAGGGGCUUUUCUACUUUGGAGAUAAUAUUUCGUCAUCUUGGAAUGUCUUUACGUCAUUGCCUGCAAGUUUUAUUUAUGUAACUUAUUUUUUCCCGUGAGCCUUCACAUAUUUUCUGACUGGAUGGGUAGUCGCUUCUUUAAUUUAUUUGUACGGUUCUAGUUUCAUUUCAAUAUCGAUAUUUUCAUGUCAUUGGCGUUGUGAAUAAAGGGUCUUUUUUUUCAAACCGAUUUAUUCCGGACUUUUAAAUUUAGAACAGUCUUUAAAACGGCGAUUUAAACAAAAGGCGCCUCAGUAUCUGUGACAGUAAUGAUACCAGUAUUCGGCCUACUUCACAAACCCAGUUUUGACUGAUUUAAAUCGAUUUUUGCUCUUUGGGUUCAUUUACUUCAUUGAUGUUUUACACCGUAUUGCUCUUCACAUCCAUGUACUACAAUACUGCAGUACCAGCUUAGCAACACUGAAUUAAAUAAAUAAAAGAGCAAUACUAGAA